GCGCACUACCCGAUUUUUUUCGGCUGUAAAUUUGGCUUUGUGUUCGCGGCCGUAAUGGCAGGACUUGCCGGAGGUCUCUACGACGUGUACAAGAGUCAAGUGAAGAUGUUCAUGCCAGAUUCAGAGUCGAAUCCGAACACUGUUCAUCAUUUACGUGAACAGCAGCAGCAGCAGCAGCAGCAGCAUCAACGACAGCAGUAUCCUCCACUGUAUAACGUUCAUCCUCACCAUCAAAAUCCCUAUCCUCCAGUCUACCACCAAGCCUAAUAACCAGCCGCUACACCUGUCUAGUGAGGGUACUGCUAAAACACCUGUCUAGUGAGAAUGCUGCUAAAACACCUGUCUAGUGAGGGUGCUGCUGAAACACCUGUCUAGUGAGUGAGGGUGCUGCUGCUAAAUUAUUAUAAUGAAAAAUGAAGUGCUGAACCCACAAGGGUCAUACAGCGCUGCUGCUGGAAUAUAAAAAUAAUCACAUUAAAACAGUAGAAAAAUC